rnacentral:rRNA from 1 species
CGACUCUCUUUUAGUUUUUAGACGACCUUUUUCGAAGGUAUACUUAAAGAGGGGCUUGCGGCACAUUAGUUAGUUGGUAGGGUAAAAGCCUACCAAGACUAUGAUGUGUAGCUGGACUGAGAGGUUGAACAGCCACAUUGGGACUGAGACACGGCCCAAACUCCUACGGGAGGCAGCAGUAGGGAAUUUUCGGCAAUGGAGGAAACUCUGACCGAGCAACGCCGCGUGAACGAUGAAGUAUUUCGGUAUGUAAAGUUCUUUUAUUGAAGAAGAAAAAAUAGGUGGAAAAACUAAUCUUGACGAUAUUCAAGUGAAUAACGCCCGCGGCAAACUAUUGUGCCAGCAGCCCGCGGUAAUACAUAGGGGGGCGAGCGUUAUCCGGAAUUAUUGGGCGUAAAGGGUGCGUAGGCGGUUUGGUAAGUCUAUAGUUUAAUUUCAGUGCUUAACACUGUUCUGCUAUAGAAACUAUCAGACUAGAGUGAGAUAGAGGCAAGUGGAAUUCCAUGUGUAGCGGUAAAAUGCGUAAAUAUAUGGAGGAACACCCAGAGGCGUAGGCGGCUUGCUGGGUCUUUACUGACGCUGAGGCACGAAAGCGUGGGGAGCAAACAGGAUUAGAUACCCUGGUAGUCCACGCCGUAAACGAUGAGUACUAAGUGUCGGGGAAACUCGGUACUGAAGUUAACACAUUAAGUACUCCGCCUGAGUAGUACGUACGCAAGUAUGAAACUUAAAGGAAUUGACGGGACUCCGCACAAGCGGUGGAUCAUGUUGUUUAAUUCGAAGAUACACGAAAAACCUUACCAGGUCUUGACAUACUCUGCAAAGCUAUAGCAAUAUAGUGGAGGUUACCAGGGAUACAGGUGGUGCAUGGUUGUCGUCAGCUCGUGUCGUGAGAUGUUAGGUUAAGUCCUAAAACGAGCGCAACCCUUGUCACUAGUUGCCAGCAUGUUAUGAUGGGCACUUUAGUGAGACUGCCAAUGAAAAAUUGGAGGAAGGUGAGGAUCACGUCAAAUCAUCAUGCCCCUUAUGAUCUGGGCUACAAACGUGAUACAAUGGCUGUUACAAAGAGUAGCUAAAACGCGAGUUUAUAGCCAAUCUCAUAAAAGCAGUCUCAGUUCGGAUUGAAGUCUGCAACUCGACUUCAUGAAGUGGAAUCGCUAGUAAUCGCGAAUCAGCAUGUCGCCGUAG